rnacentral:rRNA from 1 species
UGGCUCAGAUUGAACGCUGGCGGCAGGCUUAACACAUGCAAGUCGAGCGGGGGAAGGUAGCUUGCUACUGGACCUAGCGGCGGACGGGUGAGUAAUGCUUAGGAAUCUGCCUAUUAGUGGGGGACAACAUCUCGAAAGGGAUGCUAAUACCGCAUACGUCCUACGGGAGAAAGCAGGGGAUCUUCGGACCUUGCGCUAAUAGAUGAGCCUAAGUCGGAUUAGCUAGUUGGUGGGGUAAAGGCCUACCAAGGCGACGAUCUGUAGCGGGUCUGAGAGGAUGAUCCGCCACACUGGGACUGAGACACGGCCCAGACUCCUACGGGAGGCAGCAGUGGGGAAUAUUGGACAAUGGGGGGAACCCUGAUCCAGCCAUGCCGCGUGUGUGAAGAAGGCCUUAUGGUUGUAAAGCACUUUAAGCGAGGAGGAGGCUACUUUAGUUAAUACCUAGAGAUAGUGGACGUUACUCGCAGAAUAAGCACCGGCUAACUCUGUGCCAGCAGCCGCGGUAAUACAGAGGGUGCGAGCGUUAAUCGGAUUUACUGGGCGUAAAGCGUGCGUAGGCGGCUUAUUAAGUCGGAUGUGAAAUCCCCGAGCUUAACUUGGGAAUUGCAUUCGAUACUGGUGAGCUAGAGUAUGGGAGAGGAUGGUAGAAUUCCAGGUGUAGCGGUGAAAUGCGUAGAGAUCUGGAGGAAUACCGAUGGCGAAGGCAGCCAUCUGGCCUAAUACUGACGCUGAGGUACGAAAGCAUGGGGAGCAAACAGGAUUAGAUACCCUGGUAGUCCAUGCCGUAAACGAUGUCUACUAGCCGUUGGGGCCUUUGAGGCUUUAGUGGCGCAGCUAACGCGAUAAGUAGACCGCCUGGGGAGUACGGUCGCAAGACUAAAACUCAAAUGAAUUGACGGGGGCCCGCACAAGCGGUGGAGCAUGUGGUUUAAUUCGAUGCAACGCGAAGAACCUUACCUGGCCUUGACAUACUAGAAACUUUCCAGAGAUGGAUUGGUGCCUUCGGGAAUCUAGAUACAGGUGCUGCA